rnacentral:rRNA from 1 species
UUUUAUGAGAGUUUGAUCCUGGCUCAGGACGAACGCUGGCGGCGUGCCUAAUACAUGCAAGUCGUACGCUUCUUUUUCCACCGGAGCUUGCUCCACCGGAAAAAGAGGAGUGGCGAACGGGUGAGUAACACGUGGGUAACCUGCCCAUCAGAAGGGGAUAACACUUGGAAACAGGUGCUAAUACCGUAUAACAAUCGAAACCGCAUGGUUUUGAUUUGAAAGGCGCUUUCGGGUGUC